AUGAGAGCAGCUGCACCGGAGAGGCAGAAACACCACGUGCUGUAUAAUCAUUAUUUUAAUGUCUCUCGCUGCCAUUAAUCACAGUUAGAGAGUAAAACACUGAGACAGAGAAAAAACAAGAAAGACAGAAGUGACAGAAGCAGAAAAUCCCUCAUUACAACCUGCCAGUUCAGCAGUCAGAUGUUCAGCGUUUAAGGUGGGAUUCAAUCGUUUGAACUGAUUUCAGCAUCAGCUGUCGAGGGAUGAAGCUGCCGUCAGUCUACAGCAGAUGAGUGUAACAGGUGCCAGGAACCCGACGGUCCUGUGAUGGAGGAGAGGAGCAGAACAUAAAGAUGACCAUCACACAGCAGGACGCUGAAAUGACACUGUUAUCAGCGGGGCUUUUUCAACAAUUUGCCCACCACCAUCCAACUGGGUCAAAGCACCUCAGCGAAGGCUCACACCGAUUAUUUCUUAGAGGCGAGAGAACCCAUGAGAGGGAUGUGAAAUCUUAUGGGAAUGAUUGCAUCUCUCGGUUCAUAAGCAAUUGUAUAUUGCAAGACAAACAAUAAAGCUUAAUAUCCAUGUGAAGUUUGAUUCUGGCUGAAUGCAUCUGAUGCAAACCGUACAGGAAAACAGCAACAGAAAAUCACCAGCUCCAAUCUGAUUGGCUGUCUCUAUGAAACGGAGUACAUGGUUAGUAGGAUCAAAUCUUUAAAAGAUAUUAAUAGCACUCUAAAAAAUGCUGGGUUAAAAAUAAACCAAGUUGAGUUGA